rnacentral:lncRNA from 1 species
UUUUUAGCUUGUGCGUCAGUUUUAUAUCUCUUGCAGAUGAGAAUGAGAUGACAUGCUGCUCUUUUUUGAAAACAUCAUUUUUUGUUUAGGUUUUUUUUCUUCGCGGGGUAUUUUUUGUUUAGAUUAGAAGAGCUUUUGUUAAGAGACGCUAUUAGUGGGAAGAGCAUUUGGCUAGCUGCGAGCGUGAGCGGUAAGGCAGAGCAAAUUGCGCCGCUCGUGAUUGAUGCCUCUUCAAUCAUUACGGCCCGUCCGUCGUUCUUUGUGAGAUUCCUGUUUUUGGUUGGGCGUCGGUCGAUCUUCUCCUUUUCUUGUCUUUUGUAUUCCACUGUCUCCCUCGUGAUCGAUUUAGUAUACAAGUAAGAAUUGAAAGGAAGAUUCAUUCAUGUGUGAACAACUGGGAGGAGGUUCUUGCACUGCUUAAGAAAUCAACGGAUAAGUUUCGCGACACAAAAAAAAAUUUGCAGCUCGAUUUAGUAUGUUGUGUGUGUUUCAAUAUUUUUGCAGCUAUAUAUAUAUACUAAAAUUUUAAUAUUAAAAGUAAUUUAUAAACUAUUCGGUUAGUCGUGCGUUGCACGUGCAUGCUAACUAGUAUAGUAAUAUAGCAAAAUCACUAGUUAAGCGGUACCUUUGCAAAGAUCACUUCCACCUUUUUAGGUUAUGACAAAUAGCACCCUUGUCGCAACUAGUGAGUUUUCUCAUUUUUCUUAGAUUCAUUUAUUCAAAACGCCUUAUCUCUUAAAUCAUGCGCUCAAAUUUGGAACCGUUUCAUCCUUGGAUUUCUCGCCUCAAAAUCUUCAAAACUAAGUCCCAUGUUAAUAGAUUUCUAUGAACUGUUUCUAACGAAAAAACCCAGAAAAAUCAGAAGCAAUAAAAUCGAG